AGCUCCAAUAGCGUAUAUUAAAGUUGUUGCAGUUAAAAAGCUCGUAGUUGGAUUUCUGGUUCAGAGAACCUGGCCCGUGACCAAAUUUCGGUUCAUGGGUGCCGGAGUUUUCGUACCAUCCUUCCGGUGAUUUCUCCGGGUUCCUUUCACUAGGUGGCCCGGGUGCUCCGGAUCUUUUACUUUGAAAAAAUUAGAGUGUUCAAAGCAAGCUGUGUGUUGAAUACAUUAGCAUGGAAUAAUAAUCUAGGACUUUGGUUCUAUUUUGUUGGUUUCUAUAUCCAAAGUAAUGAUUGAUAGGGAUAGUUGGGGGUGCUAGUAUUUACAGGCCAGAGGUGAAAUUCUUGGAUUCUGUAAAGACUAACUUAUGCGAAAGCAUUCACCAAGGAUGUCUUCUUUAAUC
rnacentral:rRNA from 1 species